AAGUGCUUGUUCUAACUAUUCCAGGCCAUAUUCCUUUUUUGUAAAUAAACAGAGGGGUUGGGUUCAGUUAUUGGACUCUCCCAUGCUGCUCUGGCUGUCUAGUCAAUGGGUGGAUGGGGAGCACCCUCAUAGAUGUAGGGGGCAGCAGAGGGUAUAGGGAGUUUGUGGAGGGGAAACUGGGAAGGGGAUAACAUUUGCAAUGUAAAUAAAUAAAAUAACCAAUAAAUAAAUUUUAAAAAAACAGUCAGUGGGAGGACCUUAAUGUCAGCCUUGUCUGUCUGGAACACUCUAAGGAAGCUUUGAGACAACUAACCAAUUAUUGCAGCUGAUUGUCCUAGCCCUAAAGGAGUGGAGUCAUUCAUUUCUAUUUUAAGCACCUUGUAAAAGUUGUUUUUUUUUUUUUUUCUGCCAUAAGUCUCAAUGAACUCAAAGUGAUUAUUUAUUUUCAUCGAUGUCAAAUAGGGGACAGUUCCCCCUUGUGCCCAACUGGGGGACUGCUGUAAUUGGUGCAAAAGACAUACCUCCAACUACAUGUAUUACGCUAUGCUAUGAUGGUCCGAAUACCUUUCUCUGGCUAGAGAAGCAAGUUAUACAGGCUCACAUAGUGAGUCAGCUGAAAGACAUUUGUGCAUGUGUGUGUGUUAAGGAGUCACAAGCCAAGCUGAUAAAUAGCAAAGUGGUUAAGGUGUGGCUAAUGAGUUGUGGUUUCAUAGUUUGAGAAAGUUGCCAGAGCAGAAGGAAGGGUCAUAAGAGUAGAGAGCUAUUCAGAGAAGGCAGAGAACUGAGGCUCAAGAAUAGAAGGCUUCUCAGAGUUAAAUCAUCAAAUAAAAUCUUAAUCACUGCGCGAGUUCCAGGGGGAUGUCCCAGCAUUAAGGCUUGAGUCUCAGAUCACUUAAGCUGGGAGAUCUACCACUGUCUGAAUUGUAACACUAGAAGGUGCUAAUUUUUUCUGUUACACCCUCAGGUCUGCUACCAAUAUUCCUUGCUGCCAAGUGCCAGGGGAUACAAAAAAUGCCAGCACCAAGCCAAGAGUGUCAUGUCUACCCACAGAUUUUAUCCAGGGAGAGAAAGGGUAACUUACUGGUGGCAGAAUGACUUCAAAUUCUUGCUGGAAAUUCUACCUUGGGUAAUUCUAAGGAUUGGUCUGUAGUGGGAGAGGAGCUGAAGAAACAAAAGAUUGAACGCAAUGCACACACAGGAGCCAGCGUUAAGAGGAAGCUGUAAGAGGAAGCUGAAGCCACAAGUAGGGGUGAAAUAAACACCAUCAGUCAGAGGGCAAGGUAUCAUAUGAAACUGGGAAAGAGAAACAGGCAUAUGAACAUCUCUCUCUCUCUCUCUCCCUUUCUCUCUCUCUCUCUCUCUCUCUCUCUCUCUCUCUCUCACACACACACACACAUACAAUCCAUCCCAAAUGUUGCUCAUUUAGAAAAAAAAGUCAGCUGACUUAAACUGCUCAGUUCCCAAGCCUCCCCAAGGGUUGAAGGAUGUUGUUUAAACUCGAGGAUGAGCCAGCUUCACUAUGUGCAGGUUAGAGAGGAAAGAGAAAUGUCAGGGAGUGAAUUCAAACUGUUCUCCGAGUAUCAGAGAAGAGGGCUCACCUCUGCCUCCAAAGCCGUUCUUCAAGCUUCGGAAAUGCUUAGACAUUUGGACUUUUAUGAAAAUCCCUCUUACUACAGUAACUCCAAGGAAUCUGAAGGAGCUUAAGUGUUCUGGGCACAGGAAAAUGAAGAUUGGUUAUAGGACUGAAGUGGGUCAAGCAUCUGCUCUCCAUUGUUGUCAUAUUCAUGAGGGAAUGAAUAACCAGUGUUAAUAAAAUGCAUAUUGUGCUGAAUAAUAGACUAGACACAGAGAGUGACCAUGAAGUGAAGGGUGCCUCAGCAGGGGCAGAAGGCAUUCAGAGACUCCCAGUUAUGAAAGCCAAACUGAGAGGAACCAAACAGCUUCUUCAGUGAGGCUACACUCAGCACCUCAGGUAGGUGUCUAUGAAUGCUACAAUGGCUGCGAGCCAAAUGCUGAAAUCUGGUUCUGUUUUUUUUUCUACUUUAAAGUUAAAAAAAAAUUAAAGCCAUAGAACAAAUUGUGAAAAACCAUAAUAGUAUAAUAAUAUACAUAUGUGAAUUUACUAAUAUUUUGCCAUUUACUAUUAUUAUCUGUUGAAAAUAUUCUAUUAUGUAUCAUUACCCUUAUCCUAACAUCAUUACUCCGUGUGUGUGUGUGUGUGUGUCUAUGUGUGUAUCUGUGUGUGUGUCUGUGGGUUUCCCAUAACUACUCCAAUUGUUCCCAUAUUCUCUCAGUAGUCAUUCUAGAUUCAUGAAUCCACCACAUCUCUAACAUAUGUCCAGUCUCUAGUUUUCUUCAACUUUUUUGCUAUCACUGACUUUUUCAAAGACAGUGUGUGUUUUAUAGAGUCUGACCUGCCUAUUCAUCCAUUCUUGGUUCCAUUUGGUUAUAUAUUUUAUUUUCUUGAUAUUCGCACACGUGUAAAGACUGUAAUUGGUAUUUUGAUCCUUCCAAUCAUUUAAUUUCCCUCCAAUUUCUGCCAGACCUCCCUCCCACCAGACCUUGUCAAAACUUCACUUCUAUUUUUCAUAAACCAUUGAAUCUCAUUGCUGUGUCUUUAUGUUGCAGCGUGUGGUGCAUUGGAGAUUGAGUAACCUACAAGGGACUACAUUCAUGAAGAAAACUGACUCUUCCCUACCUUGGAAGCCUUAAGCUGCAAAGGCCCCUCAGCAGAGGUAGGGCUUUGUAAGCUUCUCCCCAUUUGUGCUGAACUUUGGCUGGCUUGUGGGGCUUACACACUACAUACUGUGAGCCCAUGAGUGUAGCGGUCCUAUCAUGCUCCAAAGCGAUUAUUUUGCAGCACUCCUCCCCAGCUCUAAGCCUUACACCUUUUCCUUCUCAGAUACUUUUACAGGUUUAUUGAGGGUGUAAUGUUAGGUAUCUUCAUGUAUUUCAUAUUUGAAUGUACACAAUGCCAGUUUAGCCCAUCGCUGGUGGUGUUACCUUCGGUAACUCCUAGAAUAUGAAGCUCUUUCUCUUCCUGUAAUUGUAAGCAAACUGUUGGGGAGCUACUUUGAGAUGGUGCAAAUAUUUUAUUUCCCAAGAAACCUUCAUCCAUUGAUAACCAUUUUUCCUGAAUCAUUUUUUACUGAAGAUGGUUGUAAAAUAGAACUCAAUACUUUCCUCUAAUUAUAUACCCCCAGAAACCAAAACAGGGGGUACAGCUCUGAGAUACAGUGCUUGUUUAUAAAAGAGAAUACAUUGUUCUUUGAGCAUACACAGUAAAGUAGUGAGGAUAAGGUCAUAGUUAGUGUCUAUUUCAUCGUCCUUUCCUCUUCUUCUUUGUUAUCCCUCACUAUCAGGCCAGGUUCCCUUCAACCUAGUAGUCGGAGUUGUGGCUGCACACAAGAAAUAUUUAAGGUGCUUUAAAAACUGCUCAUGUCUGAAUUACACCCGCAGAGAUAGAUUUUAUGUAAUUUCUCUAGGAUGGGGUUAAACAGUGGAUCUUUCAAAACUGUCUGGGUCAUUUUCAAAUCUACCUAGGAUUGAACUGCUGGGAAAACAGUGACCAGUUCAGUCUUUCCAAUGCGUAGCCUCAAGUUACAUUCUAAACUCGAAUCUGGCACUAUCUAUCAAGAAAACUGUCAUUUUUAUAUCAUAACAAAGACCAUUUCCUCUGUAUAACCCUUCUUCCUUCUGUUUUGAUCUUCCUUCUACCUUAUCACCCUUUGAUUUCUGUUGUAUGGAAAAUGUCACUCUGUAUCAUCCUUUCCUAACUUUGCAACUGUAGUAUAGGAGUCCCUGUGCACUCUUCCUUGGAUAGCACCUCACUGAAUUCCUGUAGCCAUGUACAACAAUCCUCACCUCAUCUUACCUGGUGGACUUAUCCUAAUGAAAGCUUAAACAACAGAUAAGAAAAUUAAUGACUAAAGAGUAAGCAGAGGAACACAGUUUGCAUUCCUUU
rnacentral:lncRNA from 1 species